GGGCCUAUAGCUCAGUUGGUUAGAGCAGCGGACUCAUAAUCCGUUGGUCGAAGGUUCAAGUCCUUCUGGGCCCACCA
rnacentral:tRNA from 2 species